rnacentral:rRNA from 1 species
AAAAGCUCGUAGUUGGAUCUCAGCUCGAGACGGAUGGUCCGCCUACCGGUGGUUACUGUCUGUUCUCAGCAUUCAGCCGGUUUCUCUUGAUGAUCUUCACCGGUUGUCUUGGGUGACCGGCAAGUUUACUUUGAAAAAAUUAGAGUGCUCAAAGCAGGCGUGAAAGCCUGAAUAAUGGUGCAUGGAAUAAUGGAAUAGGACCUCGGUUCUAUUUUGUUGGUUUUCGGAACACGAGGUAAUGAUUAAGAGGGACAGACGGGGGCAUUCGUAUUGCGACGCUAGAGGUGAAAUUCUUGGACCGUCGCAAGACGAACUACUGCGAAAGCAUUUGCCAAGAAUGUUUCCAUUAAUCAAGAACGAAAGUUAGAGGUUCGAAGGCGAUCAGAUACCGCCCUAGUUCUAACCAUAAACGAUGCCAGCCAGCGAUCCGGCUGUGUUCCUCAAAUGACACGCCGGGCAGCUUCCGGGAAACCAAAGCUUUUGGGUUCCGGGGGAAGUAUGGUUGCAAAGCUGAAACUUAAAGGAAUUGACGGAAGGGCACCACCAGAAAUGGAGCCUGCGGCUUAAUUUGACUCAACACGCGAAAACUUACCCGACCCGGACACAGGAAGGAUUGACAGAUUAAGAGCUCUUUCUUGAUUCUGUGGGUGGUGGUGCAUGGCCGUUCUUAGUUGGUGGGGCGACUUGUCUGGUUAAUUCCGAUAACGAACGAGACUCUAGCCUACUAAAUAGACGCUCCGAUCCUUCGAGUCGGACGUUCUUCUUAGAGGGACAAGCGGCGUUUAGCCGCACGAAACAGAGCAAUAACAGGUCUGGGAUGCCCUUAGAUGUCCGGGGCCGCACGCGCGCUACAUUGAAGGAAUCAGCGUGUGCUCUCCCUAUCCGACAGGAUUGGGUAACCCGUUGAACCUCCUUCGUGCUGGGGAUAGGAGAUUGUAAUUGUCCUCCUUGAACGAGGAAUUCCCAGUAAGCACAAGUCAUAAGCUUGUGUUGAUUACGUCCCUGCCCUUUGUCCACACCGCCCGUCGCUACUACCGAUUGAAUGAUUUAGUGAGGUCUUCGGACUGGCGCUCGGAUUGGCCUUCGGGUCGAGCCGAAGUGCCGGAAAGAUGACCAAACUUGAUCAUUUAGAGGAAGUAAAAGUCGUAACAAGGUUUCC